rnacentral:rRNA from 1 species
AAACGGGUGAGUAACGCGUAAGCAACCUGCCCUUCAGAUGGGGACAACAGCUGGAAACGGCUGCUAAUACCGAAUACGUUCUUUUUGUCGCAUGGCAGAGGGAAGAAAGGGAGGCUCUUCGGAGCUUUCGCUGAAGGAGGGGCUUGCGUCUGAUUAGCUAGUUGGAGGGGUAACGGCCCACCAAGGCGACGAUCAGUAGCCGGUCUGAGAGGAUGAACGGCCACAUUGGGACUGAGACACGGCCCAGACUCCUACGGGAGGCAGCAGUGGGGAAUCUUCCGCAAUGGACGAAAGUCUGACGGAGCAACGCCGCGUGAACGAUGACGGUCUUCGGGUUGUUAAGUUCUGUUUAUACGGGACGAAUAGCGUAGCGGUCAAUACCCGUUACGAGUGACGGUACCGUAAGAGAAAGCCACGGCUAACUACGUGCCAGCAGCCGCGGUAAUACGUAAGGUGGCAAGCGUUGUCCGGAAUUAUUGGGCGUAAAAGGGCACGCAGGCGGCGUCGUAAGUCGGUCUUAAAAGUGCGGGGCUUAACCCCGUGAGGGGACCGAAACUGCGAUGCUAGAGUAUCGGAGAGGAAAGCGGAAUUCCUAGUGUAGCGGUGAAAUGCGUAGAUAUUAGGAGGAACACCAGUGGCGAAAGCGGCUUUCUGGACGACAACUGACGCUGAGGCGCGAAAGCCAGGGGAGCAAACGGGAUUAGAUACCCCGGUAGUCCU